rnacentral:rRNA from 1 species
UACGAAGGGGGGCUAGCGUUGCUCGGAUUGACUGGGCGUAAAGGGCGCGUAGGCGGUUCGUACAGUCAGACGUGAAAUUCCUGGGCUCAACCUGGGGGCUGCGUUUGAUACGUGCGGACUUGAGUGCGGAAGAGGGUCGUGGAAUUCCCAGUGUAGAGGUGAAAUUCGUAGAUAUUGGGAAGAACACCGGUGGCGAAGGCGGCGACCUGGUCCGAUACUGACGCUGAGGCGCGAAAGCGUGGGUAGCAAACAGG